UGCGUAGGCGGUCUGAUAAGUCAGUUGUGAAAGCCCGGGGCUCAACCCCGGAAGUGCAAUUGAAACUGUCAGGCUUGAGUAUGGUAGAGGGAAGUGGAAUUCCUGGUGUAGCGGUGAAAUGCGUAGAUAUCAGGAGGAACACCGGUGGCGAAGGCGGCUUCCUGGACCAAUACUGACGCUGAGGCGCGAAGGUGUGGGUAGCAAACAGGAUUAGAUACCCUGGUAGUCC
rnacentral:rRNA from 1 species